GCUCAGGCCCUGGGCAAUAAGAUUUUAGUGUCCGGUGAUCGCUGCUCAGAGCUGACAUGGGGCUGGAGGGGGCAAGCAAAGACCUCGACAGCUUUGUGAAGGUCCCCGUGUAGAUCCAGCUGGGUAGGAGGGCUCUGUAUGGCCCAUGAGAUGCCAGAAUAUCCUUCACCACCCCUCUUGAGAGUCAACUAAAUGGGCAAAUGACUCACCUCUGCCAUGCUGCCUGCAAAUCUCAAACUGAUGAGUUUGGGUAGAGGCAACAGGCCAUGUCCGUCCUUCUUCUCCUGUGGUCCUGUCCUCUCACUUCUCUCCACCAACAGCAGAACACAAAUAAACAAAUCAAUAAAAUACACAAAAAACUAUGACCAACAGAUCAACCCCACCUCCAUCCCAAACAAAUACGCAACCCAAAAACUUUUGAAUCGGAAAUGUCACACUGAAAAUGUUGACAUUUCUGAUUGAAGCCAAACAAGAAUUGUCAUUUCAAAUCAGCACUUUGACAUGGAGUGGAGGCUUGUUUGUUUAAAUCAAAUCACCCAACUGGAGCUACAUUUUGUCAUUUUCUAUCCAAACACAAUGAAGAGAAAUAGUUUCAACAUUUCUUGGCAGAGCUGAGAAUGACAUUUUCCUGGGAAGAAUUUUAGUUUCAAAAACUUUUGGCAGGUAAAUCUGCACUGAAGACCUCCAAUGACCAUGAUCUUCCAUCUUGGAAGAAGCCAACCCACAAGAUUAGGAAAUAAUUGGUUUGAUUGAAUUAAUACAGAAAAUCAAACUCUAGACCAAAAUACUCCAACAAGAAAAAGAACAGCAACAACAUUAAUUUUGAUUUUCCUUUGUUAGAAAAUUAUCUUUUGCUCAUAUUUAAUAAA